rnacentral:ncRNA from 1 species
UGAAGGUGGCCCGAUUCAUCGGGACUAAAGAGGGGAAGCCGGUGAAAAUCCGGCGCGGUCCCGCCACUGUAACCGGCAAGGGCUCUUCCGUCCGCUCACGCGGACCCACCGGCUCGUUGGCCGAGCCGGGAUGGCGAAGAAGCUCGUUAACGCCGGAAGCCAGGAGACUCGCUUCA